CUUGCCGCCGGCGACCGGCGCACGGGUGAGUAACGCGUAUGCGACCUGCCCGUUGCAGGGGGAUAAUCGGGAGAAAUCCCGUCUAAUACCGCGUAACGCCGCGGGGCUGCAUGGCCCUGCGGCCAAAGGGAGCGAUUCCGGCAACGGAUGGGCAUGCGUGACAUUAGCUAGUUGGCGGGGCAACGGCCCACCAAUGCGACGAUGUCUAGGGGUUCUGAGAGGAAGGUCCCCCACACUGGUACUGAGACACGGACCAGACUCCUACGGGAGGCAGCAGUGAGGAAUAUUGGUCAAUGGGCGCGAGCCUGAACCAGCCAAGUCGCGUGAGGGAUGACGGCCCUACGGGUUGUAAACCUCUUUUGUCGGGGAGCAAAUUCCGUUACGUGUAACGGAGUCGAGAGUACCCGAAGAAAAAGCAUCGGCUAACUCCGUGCCAGCAGCCGCGGUAAUACGGAGGAUGCGAGCGUUAUCCGGAUUUAUUGGGUUUAAAGGGUGCGUAGGCGGACUGUCAAGUCAGCGGUAAAAUACGGGGGCUCAACCUCCGCCCGCCGUUGAAACUGACGGUCUUGAGUGGGCGAGAAGUAUGCGGAAUGCGUGGUGUAGCGGUGAAAUGCAUAGAUAUCACGCAGAACUCCGAUUGCGAAGGCAGCAUACCGGCGCCCAACUGACGCUGAAGCACGAAAGCGUGGGUAUCGAACAGGAUUAGAUACCCUGGUAGUCCACGCAGUAAACGAUGAAUACUAGCUGUCCGGGGCGAAUGAGCCCUGGGUGGCAC
rnacentral:rRNA from 1 species